GAUGAACGCUGGCGGCGUGCCUAAUACAUGCAAGUCGAGCGAACAGACGAGGAGCUUGCUCCUCUGACGGUAGCGGCGGACGGGUGAGUAACACGUGGAUAACCUACCUAUAAGACUGGGAUAACUUCGGGAAACCGGAGCCAAUACCGGAUAAUAUAUUGAACCGCAUGGUUCAAUAGUGAAAGACGGUUUUGCUGUCACUUAUAGAUGGAUCCGCGCCGCAUUAGCUAGUUGGUAAGGUAACGGCUUACCAAGGCAACGAUGCGUAGCCGACCUGAGAGGGUGAUCGGCCACACUGGAACUGAGACACGGUCCAGACUCCUACGGGAGGCAGCAGUAGGGAAUCUUCCACAAUGGGCGAAAGCCUGACGGAGCAACGCCGCGUGAGUGAUGAAGGUCCUCGGAUCGUAAAACUCUGUUAUUAGGGAAGAACAAAUGUGUAAGUAACUAUGCACGUCUUGACGGUACCUAAUCAGAAAGCCCCGGCUAACUACGUG
rnacentral:rRNA from 1 species